GCUGGCGGCGUGCCUAACACAUGCAAGUCGAACGGGAAAACAGGGGCAACUCUGUGAGUACAGUGGCGUACGGGUGAGUAACACGUGACUACCUACCCUCGAGUGGGGGAUAACCCCGGGAAACCGGGGCUAAUACCGCAUAACAUCGCAAGAUCAAAGGAGUAAUCCGCUUAAGGAGGGGGUCGCGGCUGAUUAGCUAGUUGGUGAGGUAACGGCUCACCAAGGCGAUGAUCGGUAGCCGGCCUGAGAGGGCGCACGGCCACACUGGAACUGAAACACGGUCCAGACUCCUACGGGAGGCAGCAGUGGGGAAUUUUGCGCAAUGGGGGAAACCCUGACGCAGCAACGCCGCGUGGAGGAUGAAGUCCCUUGGGACGUAAACUCCUUUCGACCCGGACGAUAAUGACGGUACGGGUGGAAGAAGCACCGGCUAACUUCGUGCCAGCAGCCGCGGUAAUACGAGGGGUGCGAGCGUUGUUCGGAAUUAUUGGGCGUAAAGGGCGCGUA
rnacentral:rRNA from 1 species